rnacentral:rRNA from 1 species
UACGUAGGGUGCGAGCGUUAAUCGGAAUUACUGGGCGUAAAGCGUGCGCAGGCGGUUCGUUGUGUCGGCGGUGAAAGCCCCCGGGCUUAACCUGGGAAUGGCCGUUGAAACUGCGAACUGGAGUGUGGCAGAGGGGGGGGUGGAAUUCCGCGUGUAGCAGUGAAAAUGCGUAGAGAUGCGGAGGAACACCGAUGGCGAAGGCAGCCCCCCUGGGCUAACACUGACGCUCAGGCACGAAAGCGUGGGGAGCAAACAGG